rnacentral:misc_RNA from 1 species
GAUGAAGAACGUAGCGAAAUGCGAUACUUGGUGUGAAUUGCAGAAUCCCGUGAACCAUCGAGUCUUUGAACGCAAGUUGCGCCCGAAGCCAUCAGGUUGAGGGCACGUCUGCCUGGGCGUGACAUAUCGUUGCCCAAUGCCUAUUGCAGUGCAAUAGGAAUUUCUAGGGCGAAUGAUGGCUUCCCGUGAGCGUUGUUGCCUCGCGGUUGGUUGAAAAUCGAGUCCUUGGUAGGGUGUGCCAUGGUAGAUGGUGGUCGAGUUAGAACGAUACCGAUCAUGUGCAUGCUCCCCAAAAUAUGGCCUCUAUGACCCACACGCGUCUUUUGACGCUCAUGACGAGACCUCAGGUCAGGCGGGGCUACCCGCUGAAUUUAAGCAUAUCAAUAAGCGGAGGA